ACUUGGGGAAGGAUCAUUAU
rnacentral:rRNA from 1 species